rnacentral:rRNA from 1 species
GGGUGAGUCGACCCCUAAGCCGAGGCCGCCAGGCGUAGCCGAUGGGGAACAGGAUAAUAUUCCUGUACUUGGGGUUACUGCGAAGGGGGGACGGAGAAGGCUAUGUUGGCCGGGCGACGGUAGGCCCGGUUUACGCGUGUAGGUUGGUUUUCCAGGCAACUGCGGAAAACCAAGGCUGAGGCCUGAUGACGAGGCACAACGGAUCUGAAGCAACAAAUGCCCUGCUGCCAGGAAAAGCCUCUAAGCAUCAGGUAACAUCAAAUCGUACCCCAAACCGACACAGGUGGUCAGGUAGAGAAUACCAAGGCGCUUGAGAGAACUCGGGUGAAGGAACUAGGCAAAAUGGUGCCGUAACUUCGGGAGAAGGCACGCUGAUAUGUAGGUGAAGCGACUUGCUCGUGGAGCUGAAAUCAGUCGAAGAUACCAGCUGGCUGCAACUGUUUAUUAAAAACACAGCAC